rnacentral:rRNA from 1 species
UCCUGUACUUGGUGUUACUGCGAAGGGGGGACGGAGAAGGCUAUGUUAGCCGGGCGACGGUUGUCCCGGUUUAAGCAUGUAGGCUGGUUGUCCAGGCAAAUCCGGAUAAUCAAGGCUGAGGUGUGAUGACGAGGCACUACGGUGCUGAAGUAACAAAUGCCCUGCUUCCAGGAAAAGCCUCUAAGCAUCAGGUAACAUUAAAUCGUACCCCAAACCGACACAGGUGGUCAGGUAGAGAAUACCAAGGCGCUUGAGAGAACUCGGGUGAAGGAACUAGGCAAAAUGGUGCCGUAACUUCGGGAGAAGGCACGCUGGUGUGUAGGUGAAGUCCCUGCGGAUGGAGCUGAGACCAGUCGAAGAUACCAGCUGGCUGCAACUGUUUAUUAAAAACACAGCACUGUGCAAACACGAAAGUGGACGUAUACGGUGUGACGCCUGCCCGGUGCCGGAAGGUUAAUUGAUGGGGUUAUCCGUAAGGAGAAGCUCUUGAUCGAAGCCCCGGUAAACGGCGGCCGUAACUAUAACGGUCCUAAGGUAGCGAAAUUCCUUGUCGGGUAAGUUCCGACCUGCACGAAUGGCGUAAUGAUGGCCAGGCUGUCUCCACCCGAGACUCAGUGAAAUUGAACUCGCUGUGAAGAUGCAGUGUACCCGCGGCAAGACGGAAAGACCCCGUGAACCUUUACUAUAGCUUGACACUGAACAUUGAGCCUUGAUGUGUAGGAUAGGUGGGAGGCUUUGAAGCGUGGACGCCAGUCUGCGUGGAGCCAACCUUGAAAUACCACCCUUUAAUGUUUGAUGUUCUAACGUUGGCCCCUGACCGGGGUUGCGGACAGUGUCUGGUGGGUAGUUUGACUGGGGCGGUCUCCUCCCAAAGCGUAACGGAGGAGCACGAAGGUUAGCUAAUCCUGGUCGGACAUCAGGAGGUUAGUGCAAUGGCAUAAGCUAGCUUGACUGCGAGCGUGACGGCGCGAGCAGGUGCGAAAGCAGGUCAUAGUGAUCCGGUGGUUCUGAAUGGAAGGGCCAUCGCUCAACGGAUAAAAGGUACUCCGGGGAUAACAGGCUGAUACCGCCCAAGAGUUCAUAUCGACGGCGGUGUUUGGCACCUCGAUGUCGGCUCAUCACAUCCUGGGGCUGAAGUAGGUCCCAAGGGUAUGGCUGUUCGCCAUUUAAAGUGGUACGCGAGCUGGGUUUAGAACGUCGUGAGACAGUUCGGUCCCUAUCUGCCGUGGGCGCUGGAGAAUUGAGGGGGGCUGCUCCUAGUACGAGAGGACCGGAGUGGACGCAUCACUGGUGUUCGGGUUGUCAUGCCAAUGGCACUGCCCGGUAGCUAAAUGCGGAAGAGAUAAGUGCUGAAAGCAUCUAAGCACGAAACUUGCCCCGAGAUGAGUUCUCCCUGAGACUUUAAGUCUCCUGAAGGAACGUUGAAGACGACGACGUUGAUAGGCCGGGUGUGUAAGCGCAGCGAUGCGUUGAGCUAACCGGUACUAAUGAACCGUGAGGCUUAACC